rfam:Streptococcus ratti FA-1 = DSM 20564 Contig026, whole genome shotgun sequence.
UUAAAUGAGAGUUUGAUCCUGGCUCAGGACGAACGCUGGCGGCGUGCCUAAUACAUGCAAGUGGAGCGCAAGGGAACACACCGUGCUUGUACAUCGUGUUUUCUUGAGUCGCGUACGGGUGAGUAACGCGUAGGUAACAUGCCUAUUAGCGGGGGAUAACUAUUUGAAACGAUAGCUAAUACCGCAUAAGAGAGUUUAACACAUGUUAGACGCUUGAAAGAUGCUAGAGCAUCACUAGUAGAUAGACCUGCGUUGUAUUAGAUAGUAGGUAGGGUAAAGCCCUACAUCGGCGACGACACAUAGCCGACCUGAGAGGGUGACCGGCCACACUGGGACUGAGACACGGCCCAGACUCCUACGGGAGGCAGCAGUAGGGAAUCUCCGGCAAUGGGGGGAACCCUGACAGAGCAACGCCGGGUGAGUGAAGAAGGUUUGCGGAUCGUAAAGCUCUGUUGUAAGAGACGAACGGGUGUGAGAGUGGAAAGCUCACACAGUGACGGUCACUGACCAGAAAGGGACGCCUAACUACGUGCCAGCAGACGCGGUAAUACGUAGGUCCCGAGCGUUGUCCGGAUUUAUUGGGCGUAAAGCGAGCGCAGGCGGUUUUGUAAGUCUGAAGUCAAAGGCAGUGGCUUAACCAUUGUGUGCUUUGGAAACUGCAGGACUUGAUUGCAGAAGGGGAGAGUGGACUUCCCUGUGUAGCGGUGAAAUGGGUAGAUAUAUGGAGGAACUCCGCUGGCGAAAGCGGCUCUCCGGUCUGUAACUG